AACGUAGGAGGCGAGCGUUAUCCGGAUUUACUGGGUGUAAAGCGCGUGCAGGCGGUCGAGAAAGUUGGAUGUGAAAGCUCCCGGCUCAACUGGGAGAGGUCGUUCAAAACUACUUGACUAGAGCGUGGUAGGGGAAGGUAGAAUUCCGGGUGUAGUGGUGAAAUGCGUAGAUAUCCGGAGGAAUACCAGUGGCGAAGGCGGCCUUCUGGACCACGACUGACGCUCAGACGCGAAAGCUAGGGUAG
rnacentral:rRNA from 1 species